rnacentral:rRNA from 1 species
GACGUAGGAGGCGAGCGUUAUCCGGAUUCACUGGGCGUAAAGCGCAUGUAGGCGGUUGGAUAAGUCCGUUGUUAAAGCCCCUGGCUCAACUGGGGGAGGUCAAUGGAGACUAUUCUACUUGAGGGCAACAGAGGCACAUGGAACUCCCGGUGUAGCGGUGGAAUGCGUAGAGAUCGGGAAGAACACCCGUGGCGGAGGCGGUGUGCUGGGUUGCAACUGACGCUGAGAUGCGAAAGUGUGGGGAGCAAACGGG